rnacentral:rRNA from 1 species
GACGAACGCUGGCGGCGUGCCUAAUACAUGCAAGUCGAACGCAGUGGGGACGGGUGAGUAACACGUGGGUAACAUCCCAUCAGAGGGGAUAACACUCGGAAACAGGUGCUAAACCGAUACUGAUGGAUGAACCCGAGGUGCAUUAGCUAGUUGGUGAGGUAACGGCUCACAAAGGCCACGAUGCAUAGCGGGCUGGAGAGUGUGAUGGGCCACACUGGAACUGGUAGACGGUCCAGCCUCCUACGUGAGGCAGUAUUGGUGAAUAUUCGGCAAUGGACGAAAUUCUGACCGAGCAAAGCCGCGUGAGUGAAGAAGGUUUUCGGAUCGUAAAGCUCUGUUGUUAGAGAAGCGGUAUCUAACCAGAAAGCCACGGCUAACUACGUGCCAGCAGCCGCGGUAAUUC